rnacentral:misc_RNA from 1 species
GGAAGUAAGAGUCGUAAUAAGGUCUCCGUUGGUGAACCAGCGGAGGGAUCAUUACCGAGUUUACAACUCCCAAACCCCUAUGUGAACGUUACCAAACUGUUGCCUCGGCGGGAAAUUCAUGCCCCGGGCGCUUCGCAGCCCCGGACCAAGGCGCCCGCCGGAGGACCAACCAAAACUCUUUUGUAUGUCCCUCGCGGACUUUUAUAAUUCUGAACCAUCUCGGCGCCCCUAGCGGGCGUUUCGAAAAUGAAUCAAAACUUUCAACAACGGAUCUCUUGGUUCUG